AUUGAACGCUAGCGGGAUGCUUUACACAUGCAAGUCCAACGAGUGGCGGACGGGUGAGUAAUAUAUCGGAACGUGCCAAGUAGCGGGGGAUAACUACUCGAAAGAGUGGCUACUACCGCAUACUAUUGGAGCGGCCGAUAUCGGAUUAGCUAGUUGGUGGGGUAAAGGCUCACCAAGGCAACGAUCCGUAGCUGGUUUGCGAGGACGCCCAGCCACACUGGAACUGAGACACGGUCCAGACUCCUACGUGAGGCAGCAGUGGGGAAUAUUGCACAAUGGGCGAAAGCCUGAUGCAGCCAUGCCGCGUGUAUGAAGAAGGCCUUCGGGUUGUAAAGUACUUUCAGCGGGGAGGCGUUACCCGCAGAAGAAGCACCGGCUAACUCCGUGCCAGCCGCCGCGGUAAUUC
rnacentral:rRNA from 1 species